ACUGUGCAAUUCCAAGUAUGAAAUCACUAAUUAAAAUGUAUUCACAGCAAGGUUAUUUCUUGAAAUGAAAUAGUUGGGGCGGACACAGAACACUUGAGACUACAUUAGCCUUUCACCUAUCAAUGGAGAGACAGGAAAAAAAGAAAGAUCCUGAUUUCAAAUUAUUCUACUUUACUUGCAUGUUUGAAGAGUUAUGUGUGAGAGACUUGUGGUUUAUUACCACACAACAAAACUAUUUCAUGAUAUUUCACCUUUCCACCAGCUCUCCAGAAGCAUGGUCAUUGUGGAAGUCUCAGAAUGGAGGAAAGGAAUUGCAGGGAAAAUGGUAGAAAGAUUGUUGAAAAACAUUAAGCUGAGAAGCUGCUGCUGUCCCAGAUGUGAAAAGCAGCAGUUGCAUUGAAAGCUCCUGCAACACAUCAUCUGGGUAUGUUCCCUGUCUGAGCAAAGCAUGUGCUUGCAAGUGGGAACCAAGAUGUGAGCAUGAGCUGGGUAGUGCAGUAACAUGGCAAGUGGCUAACUAUCUAAAGGAAUUCAACACAGCCAUAAUACUAAAGAAGUCUUCUGAAUUACGAGUGGCCAGUGCAGUUACUGAGGGCCAUCCCAAGUACAGGAGAUGAUGAGUUUUGUCCUGUUAAAGCUACUCCCAAGAAAGUGCCCCCUUCCAUUGAUCAAUCUGGAGGUUAUCUCCAGAGAACUGAGAUGAUUUCAGUCAUUUCUUCGUAAAGCAUAGCUACCAAAGGAAGAAAACACAUUAGAGACCUAUCCUUCUUCUACUGACCUCUUUACAGUAUCUUAAUAAGUCAAUCACUCAGGCACAGAAAACAAUAAUUUUCAUUUUCUGCUUUAGGAUUUUAAAACUUUAUUUGUUCCCCACACUCUAAGGAAAAGGCUCUAUGGUCAAUGGUGAAAAAAUGACCAAAUACCCUCCAUACACACAAGAUUUGCUUCAAAAUUACUAUCCAAAUAAAUGGGCCAGAGGGACUCUACAGGCAACAUGGUGUUCAGUGCUUCUGGCAGAAUUAUUGAUGGGUCACACAGUAGUUGAAUGAGAGUUCUUUUUUUCUGUGUUGUAAUAAAGAGCAGAAUAAAAUUCAGUAGCACAUCUAUCCUUUUAAAUAAAAGAAUGCAUUACUUCUGAAAAU